UGGAGGAAAGCAGGGGAUCGCAAGACCUUGCGCUUUUGGAGUGGCCGAUGCCUGAUUAGCUAGUUGGUGGGGUAAUGGCCUACCAAGGCGACGAUCAGUAGUUGGUCUGAGAGGACGACCAGCCACACUGGGACUGAGACACGGCCCAGACUCCUACGGGAGGCAGCAGUGGGGAAUUUUGGACAAUGGGCGAAAGCCUGAUCCAGCAAUGCCGCGUGAGUGAAGAAGGCCUUCGGGUUGUAAAGCUCUUUCAGUCGAGAAGAAAAGGUUGUGACUAGUAAUCACAACUCAUGACGGUAUCGACAGAAGAAGCACCGGCUAACUACGUGCCAGCAGCCGCGGUAAUACGUAGGGUGCGAGCGUUAAUCGGAAUUACUGGGCGUAAAGGGUGCGCAGGCGGCUUUGUAAGUCAGAUGUGA
rnacentral:rRNA from 1 species